rnacentral:rRNA from 1 species
GACGAACGCUGGCGGCGUGCCUAACACAUGCAAGUCGAACGGGACCGGGGGCAACUCCGGUUCAGUGGCGAACGGGUGCGUAACACGUGAGAAAUCUAACAUUCGGCGGGGGAUAGCCGG